rfam:Mus musculus chromosome X, GRC primary reference assembly.
CCCAGGUAUGGAGAUAUGGUACCUAGCACCAUUGCAGGCAAAAUUUUUGGGUCCAUCUGCUCACUUAGCGGUGUCUUGGUCAUUGCCUUGCCUGUGCCAGUCAUUGUAUCCAAC